AGCGCGUCGAGGGCCCUGAGCGGCGCGGCUUUCCUCCCCCUCGGACUCGGAGGCUCUCCCCGCACCGCUGUGGUUGAAUCGGCAAUAUCUGUCGUGCUCUGACAGGAACAAGCAUUCCCAUCAAGGGGGUGGCCGGCUGCCACAGGGCUCUGAUGCUUGCUGCGUGCUCAGGAUGCCGUCCUGUGCUGAUGAAGACCCUGCUUAUGGGAAAGGUCAACGGCAGGUGAUGGAGGAAUAGCGCUGUCCUCCCGAGGCUAAUUUGGGUUAAACAUCAUUGGCAAGUUUCCCGUUUCUUCAAGUUCACUUACAUUUGCAGGAGAAAAAAGAUGCUUCCACCUCUAGUAAGAAAAUUUAAGUGGAGGGAUUUUGCUACCAUGGUCAAGGUGACAUGAAAUCUUUUUUGCACCUUUCAAUUCAUACAGAUUAUUGGCCUUGUCUGCACUAUUAAGAUUUGCAACCAUGUAAUGGCUUCUUUAACUGGAAUGGCACUGACUCCUACUGUAUGUAGACAUCAGUGUGAAUUUGAAAGUUAAGGCACAUUUAGAGAUAAACCUACAUAUGUAGUUUUUAUUUCAAACCCAAAAACAAUCCUUGUUGUCAAUUUUUGUCAAUUUUCUUGAACUCAGGCCAUGAUACCGAAGUCUGUUUUUCUUUAGCAGUACACGAUGAUGUUGAUUUUCUGAAAGUAAGUAUUUGUUAUUCCUAUGUUUAUGAAAACUGAGUUUAAAUUCUGCUAUGCAGGUGUAAAUGACUACAUGCACAGUGCAGAAUGAGGUUAUGCUGACAAAUAGGAGCACCUUGUUUUUGAGUGAUGGCCUUGAAAUAGCUGAAGUAAAUGUCCCCUAAUCUGUUGCUGGUUGCAAGUUUCCAGACUGAACCUCUAGGGGGGUUUUUACCUUUUCAUUAGCUGUUCUUGUAAUUCUGAAUUAGCUGGUACUUUUCAUCAGUUUGAUGUUUCUCAGACAGCAGAACAGGUCACUGAAGCCAAAUGAUGUAUAUUCAGAGCAGAUCAUAGUACUCAUUUAUUGAGUCCUGUUUCAUUUGGUAUCGAAAAUUUUAUUGCUCUUUAGGUUCAACUUUUGUUAACAACCAGUAUCAAGAUCAAUAUCUCUGUUCAACUCAGUAAAUGAAUUUAAAUAAAUGUAGCAGUUGCAUAUCGUUCUAGAAACAUUUAUGUUUUAGAGAUUACUAAUUAGUUUCUAGGCCGAAGGAUAAUUUGCAAUUUAAACACUUUCCCAAGAACAUUUCCAGUAUUUAUUCAGCAAUAACGGUAGUCAGUGCCCUUGGCCUUAGGCAUGCAUUAGGGUACUCUGAGGUUCUAAAGCAAAGGAAGAUAAUUAUUUUUGUUGCCACCACAGGGACAGGCUGUGCCUGAAAGGCUAAGGCCUGUACUGCAUUUGGUGUAGUUUCACUGCAUUAGACAGAGCUCUGAAACAAAUUGAAUGUGCAUGGCACUAUUCCACGCAACAGUGCAAAAAUCUCUCCCCUGAGAGUCUGGUCAGCCCUGCUAACAAGGGAAUGGGGCACAUUUUGGGGCAUCUUUCACUAUUAGAAAUAAUGGAGUUUUGCAUUCUCUGUACUAAAGCUUUGCAUCUCUCAUGCCAAAGGCCGAACAGAACAAAGGUGCUUUCAGCAAGCACAUUUAAUCUAAUUGUAGAUCUUUGUGGUAAAAGCUUCAAGUUCAUAUUUAUCUUCUGUACAGAUCCUAACCACUGAUUGCUCUGAAUCCCUUUUUAUUUUUGUUUCAGAUAUGGGAGUGCAGUUGACAAAUUAAUCAGACCUAUAAAACAGCACAGGCUAUCCACAGUUUUUACUGUCCUGCAGGUGUUUAAUGAGAUAAGAGUUGUACUAGCCUGUUUAGAACCCACAAAUGGAGAUAUCUUUUGUUUUGCAGCUUUGCAUCACUUUUUCACCUUUUAAGGUUAAACACUGAAUAUGCUUGUAGUUCUAAUAAAAACGUGAAUGCACUGGGAGAGUUAAUGCUGCCUGUUCUAUUCUGUGGUAGCAUUGAUGCAGAGAUAUCUUCCCAGUGUCAUCCUUCAUCACCGUUACUGCUCUUUCAUACCGUCAGUUGGUAACCCAUCACCUGAGCUCUGGCUUCAGCUAGCAGUCCAUGAUUUUUCUUAGGAUUAACAUUGAGUAAUGGUUAUUUCCAACCUGCCUGAACCCUGUCUGAAUGUAUCCUUAGCUGUGUUACGUGUAGGCAGAGCCACUGAUCUGUCAAUAUGUCAGUCUACGUGUCACCAAGACUGCUAAGAAAAAUCUUCAUAAGCACGUGUGCAUUUGUCUUCAGCCAUGCAACAUACUGUGUUCUGCUGAAUAUGAAGAGAGCAAGCUGCUGAUGUAAAAUUAAGAAAGAAUAACUUAAAGCAGUGUUUCCAAAUAGCUGGCAUUAACUGUAGCACAGUAAUACUAAAAUUGUAGUUCUAAAUGAACCUUCGGGAGCCUACAUUUGGUGAUCAAUUUGAAUGAAAGUUCAGUGGGAAUGGUAAUCUGAAAAUUGUGUAUUACAAUUCCUGAAGUGUUAAAUAAUUUUAAAAUGAGAAGAAAUGGGGAUUUCAGACUUCUUUGCACGUUUUUUUUUUUUUUUUACAGUCUCGUAAAAAUGGAGCAGUAGUAUUUUUUAAUUGCAUGUCGAUUCUUCAGGAAGAAGAAAAUAAUCUGCUUAGAGAAUUUCUAACAUAAUUAGUCUAUCCUAAUGAGAGACGUUUGAAGUGCAACUGUACCUUGUAGUUUGAAUACUGUUCUGAGUAAGAAAUUAAAACCUCGGUGAAAACAGACAGCUAAAUGUGAAUCUUCAUACUAUGAGUUAUGCACCAGUCUGUUCAGCAGACUCAUUUUUCAGUGGGGAAAAUAAUGGGAGUAAAUGUCACUACUCGCAAAUAAGCUAUUUCUGUUUGCAUCAUUUGUGCUGAGCAGAAGGAAGGAAAGUGUCACUGAGGGAGCAAAAAGAAGAGUAAUGUUGAAGACAUGACAGAGUGGGAUACAUCUUCAGGGGAGAGCAGAGGCCAGGAGAAAGAAGGGCUGAGGAUCACAUCCCUGCUGUUGUCCAGUGUUGGGAUGAUAAAAAACAGCUGUAUACCAAUUUUAAGUAGCUAACGUACUCCAGCCUGGUAUAAGUAAGUUCAGUGCACUGAUAAGUUAUCUGUAUGAGUUAUAUGUCUCUAAUUACCUUCAACAUCAAUAUGACUUAAUUUAAACAUUCCUGACAUUUAGAAUAAAAUAAAGCUAUGUGGAAAUACACAGCUUGAUUCAAAAUGUUAACUCUGCUCUCUGUCUGCAUAGUAUGCCCCUGUGUUUAUAAACAUAAUCUCUUUUAGAAAUAUACUGAAAUUCAUUAAAAAUCAGAAUGAAUGUUUAUCUUUAGAGUAGAAUUACCAUUGGUAUAAUUUUCUAGAUCUUAGCUUGUUAAAACUAAAGCUCAACUCUAACUCUUACCUUUUGAGGUUUUACUGUUAAGUUUGUUACAUUUCAAAUUAUGGCUUUGCUUAAUCUUCACAUAAUCAUGGUUCAGUUAUAAGCACAAAGUGGUAAGCUUUUUAUUAAUGUCCUGAAGUUUCUUUUCAUUUUGGCGGAGAACUGACUAUUGAUAUUUCUACUGUAUGCCAGUGCUGAAGAGUAAAGUUUGUUACGGGUUGAAGAGACCAGAUAGAUAAUGCUACUUCUGUUUUCAGUGGACUCUAAUGCAGUGUUUUAUUUUGCACACAUAUUAAUCUUUGCUGCCUCGAUGUGGAAUGGUGAGGGUAACUAUGUCAGUCCGAAAGGUUAAUUUCAUUCUUCUUUAAGGCAUGCCAUUAUUCUGUUAACAGUAAUUGCUCUUUUUUGAAUGAUUAAUUUCAUCGUGUGAACUGUUUCUAAUUAUGUUGGUGGCUGGCAAUUUCCUGGACUGAGAAGCUGUAGCUGUGAUCACAUCCCAUUUACUCAAUAUAUAUGCUUUGAGAGGAAUGCCCACUGACAGACAUUUUCAGAAAUAUUCACUAACUUUGAGAACUGAUUGGGAAUUUAUAUAAGAUUUCUGGCACUUGUUUUAUAUUGGUGUUAGGUACUUUCAAGUGUACUUGACAAAUAAGGGCUGAAACAACUGGAUUUAAGCCAUAGGCUGAGCAGGCUUGCAAAUGCGGACCUAACUGCUAAAUUAUCACCUGUCCUGUUUUUGCUGUGAAAACUGAAAGGAGUAGGAUGUGUUUCUUGCACAUUUUACCAUGUUCUUACACUGUUCUUGAGCUUGAUAUGCUAGCUUCUCUAAGCUAUAUUUAUUCGCUUCAGUUAUUGUUAAUGAGCCAGAGCUUACACUUUGCAAAUCAGUGCAGGCGUAUUAUGAGAGGCUUGGUGAACAAGCCCUAGCAGGAGGUGCAAGGUGGCUGCUGAGCUGCCUGCAGGAGUUAAUGUGGUUCACUGUCAGCAGCUCAACCCUAAACGCAAGAGUGAUUCCACUGUGGCAGUUCUGGCUCCAGCUCUGGAUCUGCAUCCAGUUUACAUAGAGUACAAAGACAUCAUACUGUCUCAGUUGCAUUUACAGCAAUUGAAUUGAACAGUGAUUCGGAUGAGGAAUGGACUGGUUGGAGGUGUUGGGGCUUAGCCAGCACAUAGGAGCGUCCUGGAUGAGGGAGGAUUCACCUUCUUGGCUGUCUCAUGCUGAAGCUGGGACCAGUUGCUAACAAAAGCAUCAUUCUCCUGGAUGUACGCCGUCAUAUGUUGUGUACCUCACCUCUUGAAAUUGCUACAGCCAUUGGGCAUAUGGUAUUUGCUGAAGGGCUGAGGUUGUGUGAAUCUUCUGGGUUUGAAACUGCUCUUCAAGGCAAGAAAAAACUGUUUACAGUAUCCAAAAGAAGGAGGUAAGCAGUUUAAUGGCACUUGGAGAUUUCAGGAGUCUAACCUGUAAAUCUAGGCCUUAACUUCUGUUUUAUCCCUUUACAGGGGCUACAGCAGGUACAGUUGUCUUUGGCUGCAAGUACAUCCCUCCCAACAUGCAACUUAUCUAAAAUAACAGGAUCCCUAAGCAGAGUGAUACUUCAAGAGAUUAGACAGAGGUCUUCACAGUUUUACUAACUGCUUUGCCACAGCAUACCAUCUCAGAGGCAUGUUCUAUGCAUUCUUUGUUUCCUGUACACUUGUAAAACAGUUUGACUUAUAUGUGGAGUCACUGGCAAAUAAAAAGCAAAAA